ACUACCGAUUGAAUGGUUUAGUGAGGCCUUCUGACUGGCCUUCCGACGGACGCCUCCGGGCGACCGAUGGAGAGGCCGGGAAGUUGGUCAAACUUGAUCAUUUAGAGGAAGUAAAAGUCGUAACAAGGUUUCCGUAGGUGAACCUGCGGAAGGAUCAUUACCGAUGAAAAGCCAAUAAACAUUGGAAACCCGUGUGAACCGUACACUAGCCUUUAGGGGUCGGCCCUGGUUGCCGUUAAAUGGCCGUCCGUGGUCUGGGACACGAGUGUCCCAUUCGGCGUUCGACCAGCCCCGCCGUUGUCUUUUUGACGCAAACACCUGUCAGUCUGAAACGUUGCCAGUAGUCCUGCGCUCCUCGGAGCUGGGACGAAGUGGUCACGAGAAAACAAAAACGAGAGACAACUUUUAACGGUGGAUCUCUAGGCUCACGUAUCGAUGAAGAACGCAGCCAGCUGCGAUAAGUAGUGUGAAUUGCAGAAUUCAGUGAAUCAUUGAAUCUUUGAACGCAAAUGGCGCUCUUGGGUUCUCCCAGGAGCAUGUCUGUCUGAGUGUCGGAUAUCGUCUGACGCGCUGCAAAGCGCGGCAUUGGGGCGUCACGGCCAGGGCCGCCGUGUCCCUCGAAGGAGAGCGGGACUCGCGCGCAACCUCUCUCGUGCGAUGGCUAAAAACACUUUGACCCAUCGCCGAGCAGAGACCGCACAAAGCGAUUCGCGAUAAAAACGACGCACGCAAGUGAAUCAAAUCUUGACCUCAGAUCAGGCAAGGCUACCCGCUGAAUUUAAGCAUAUUAAUAAGCGGAGGAAAAGAAACUAACCAGGAUUCCCCUAGUAACGGCAAGCGAAGCGGGAAUAGCUCAAAUUUGAAAUCUCCGACGCUUGCGUCGGCGAGUUGUAGUUGCGAGAAGCACUUUCUCGGCGGAUCGUCGGCGCCCAAGUUGCUUGGAACAGUACGUCGCAGAGGGUGACAACCCCGUCCGUGGCGUCGCCGGCCGCUCACGAUGUGCUUUCGAA
rnacentral:rRNA from 1 species